rnacentral:sRNA from 1 species
AAUAACUUCUCGAAUCGCAUGGCCUUGCGCCGGCGAUGGUUCAUUCAAUUUCUGCCCUAUCAACUUUCGAUGGCAGGGUCUUGGCCUGCCAUGGUUACAACGGGUAACGGAGGGUUAGGGCUCGACCCCGGAGAAGGAGCCUGAGAAACGGCUACUACAUCCAAGGAAGGCAGCAGGCGCGCAAAUUACCCAAUCCCGACUCGGGGAGGUAGUGACAAUAAAUACUGAUACAGGGCUCUUUUGGGUCUUGUAAUUGGAAUGAGUACAAUUUAAAUCCCUUAACGAGGAACAAUUGGAGGGCAAGUCUGGUGCCAGCAGCCGCGGUAAUUCCAGCUCCAAUAGCGUAUAUUAAAGUUGUUGCAGUUAAAAAGCUCGUAGUUGAACCUUGGGCCUGGCUGGCCGGUCCGCCUCACCGCGUGCACUGGUUCGGCCGGGCCUUUCCCUCUGGGGAACCGCAUGCCCUUCACUGGGUGUGUCGUACGAGCUUUUUACUGCACAACUUUAAUAUACGCUAUUGGAGCUGGAAUUACCGCGGCUGCUGGCACCAGACUUGCCCUCCAAUUGUUCCUCGUUAAGGGAUUUAAAUUGUACUCAUUCCAAUUACAAGACCCAAAAGAGCCCUGUAUCAGUAUUUAUUGUCACUACCUCCCCGAGUCGGGAUUGGGUAAUUUGCGCGCCUGCUGCCUUCCUUGGAUGUAGUAGCCGUUUCUCAGGCUCCUUCUCCGGGGUCGAGCCCUAACCCUCCGUUACCCGUUGUAACCAUGGCAGGCCAAGACCCUGCCAUCGAAAGUUGAUAGGGCAGAAAUUUGAAUGAACCAUCGCCGGCGCAAGGCCAUGCGAUUCGAGAAGUUAUUAUGAAUCACCAAGAAGCCCCGAAGGGCAUUGGUUUUUAAUCUAAUAA